UAGGGAAUCUUCGGCAAUGGACGGAAGUCUGACCGAGCAACGCCGCGUGAGUGAAGAAGGUUUUCGGAUCGUAAAGCUCUGUUGUUAGAGAAGAACGUUGGUAGGAGUGGAAAAUCUAUCAAGUGACGGUAACUAACCAGAAAGGGACGGCUAACUACGUGCCAGCAGCCGCGGUAAUACGUAGGCCCCGAGCGUUGUCCGGAUUUAUUGGGUGUAAAUCGAGCGCAGGCGGUUCUUUAAGUCUGAAGUUAAAGGCAGUGGCUUAACCAUUGUACGCUUUGGAAACUGGAGGACUUGAGUGCAGAAGGGGCGAGUGGAAUUCCAUGUGUAGCGGUGAAAUGCGUAGAUAUAUGGAGGAACACCGGUGGCGAAAGCGGCUCUCUGGUCUGAAACUGAAGCUGAGGCUCGAAAGCGUGGGGAGCAAACAGG
rnacentral:rRNA from 1 species